rnacentral:tRNA from 1 species
ACCUGGCUGGCUCAGCUGGUAGAGCAUGUGACUCUUGAUCUCAGGGUUAUGAGUUCGAGCCCCUCAUUGGGUG